rnacentral:snRNA from 1 species
AUUGCUUCUCGGCCUUUUGGCUAAGAUCAAGUGUUGUAAUGAUCUCUUUACACACAUGCUUCUUUCCAUCCGGUGGCUUCAGAGAAGUCAGAGCCCACAGGGGGUGUGUGUUUUCACACAUACACACGUUUUCAUCCCAGAGUCU